AGACGUCUACAUUAGAUACCCGCGUAGUCCCAGCCGUAAACUAUGCGCGUUAGGUGUAUCGGUGACCACGAGUUACCGAGGUGCCGAAGGGAAACCGUGAAACGUGCCGCCUGGGAAGUACGGUCGCAAGGCUGAAACUUAAAGGAAUUGGCGGGGGAGCACCACAACAGGUGGAGCCUGCGGUUUAAUUGGACUCAACGCCGGGAAGCUCACCGGAUAGGACAGCAGAAUGAUUGCCGGGCUGAAGACCCUGCAUGACCAGCUG
rnacentral:rRNA from 1 species